AGAUUCAGUGCGACUGAUUUAUUUUAAGUUUUCAUUGAAGAGUGAGAGAAACUCGGCUUACGGACCAGGAAAACUGAGAGUGCUGCCUGGUGGUGGCUAAUGCCGUAGCAGCAUUAUCUGAAAUCAGUGAGUCUCACCCAAACAGCAACUUACUUGAUCUGAACCCACAGAACAUUAAUAAGCUGUUGACAGCCCUGAAUGAAUGCACUGAAUGGGGCCAGAUUUUCAUCCUGGACUGCCUGUCUAAUUACAACCCUAAAGAUGAUCGGGAGGCUCAGAGCAUCUGUGAGCGGGUAACUCCCCGGCUAUCCCAUGCCAACUCAGCAGUGGUGCUUUCAGCGGUAAAAGUCCUAAUGAAGUUUCUAGAAUUGUUACCUAAGGAUUCUGACUACUACAAUAUGCUGCUGAAGAAGUUAGCCCCUCCACUUGUCACUUUGCUGUCUGGGGAGCCAGAAGUGCAGUAUGUCGCCCUGAGGAACAUCAACUUAAUUGUCCAGAAAAGGCCUGAAAUCUUGAAGCAGGAAAUCAAAGUCUUUUUUGUGAAGUACAAUGAUCCCAUCUAUGUUAAACUAGAGAAGUUGGACAUCAUGAUUCGUUUGGCAUCUCAAGCCAACAUUGCUCAGGUUCUGGCAGAACUGAAAGAAUAUGCUACAGAGGUGGAUGUUGACUUUGUUCGAAAAGCUGUGCGGGCCAUUGGACGGUGUGCCAUCAAGGUGGAGCAAUCUGCAGAGCGCUGUGUAAGCACAUUGCUUGAUCUAAUCCAGACCAAAGUGAAUUAUGUGGUCCAAGAAGCAAUUGUUGUCAUCAGGGACAUCUUCCGCAAAUACCCCAACAAGUAUGAAAGUAUCAUUGCCACUCUAUGUGAGAACUUAGACUCGCUGGAUGAGCCAGAUGCUCGAGCAGCUAUGAUUUGGAUUGUGGGAGAAUAUGCUGAAAGAAUUGACAAUGCAGAUGAGUUACUAGAAAGCUUCCUGGAGGGUUUUCACGAUGAAAGCACCCAGGUGCAGCUCACUCUGCUUACUGCCAUAGUGAAGCUGUUUCUCAAGAAACCAUCAGAAACACAGGAGCUAGUCCAGCAGGUCUUGAGUUUGGCAACACAGGAUUCUGAUAAUCCUGACCUUCGAGACCGGGGCUAUAUUUAUUGGCGCCUUCUCUCAACUGACCCUGUCACAGCUAAAGAAGUAGUCUUGUCUGAGAAGCCACUGAUCUCUGAGGAGACAGACCUUAUUGAGCCAACUCUGCUGGAUGAGCUAAUCUGCCACAUUGGUUCUUUGGCCUCUGUGUAUCAUAAGCCUCCCAAUGCUUUUGUGGAAGGAAGUCAUGGAAUUCAUCGUAAACACUUGCCAAUUCAUCAUGGGAGCAUUGAUGCAGGUGACAGCCCUGUUGGCACUACCACUGCAACGAACCUGGAACAGCCUCAGGUUAUCCCCUCUCAAGGUGAUCUUCUAGGGGAUCUUUUAAACCUUGACCUCGGUCCCCCAGUCAAUGUGCCACAGGUGUCCUCCAUGCAGAUGGGAGCAGUGGAUCUCCUAGGAGGAGGACUAGAUAGUCUGCUUGGCAGUGACCUUGGCGGGGGCAUUGGAGGAAGUCCGGCA
rnacentral:sRNA from 1 species